AUGAAGCUGGAAUCGCUAGUAAUCGCGGAUCAGAAUGCCGCGGUGAAUACGUUCCCGGGUCUUGUACACACCGCCCGUCACACCAUGGGAGUCAGUAACGCCCGAAGCCGGUGACCCAACCUAUCAGGAGGGAGCCGUCGAAGGCGGGACGGAUGACUGGGGUGAAGUCGUAACAAGGUACC
rnacentral:rRNA from 1 species